UCUUCCUGAACCGGACGCUCCUGCUGAUGAGAUGUCAACGCAGAAUGACGCCCUCUUUACUUCGUUUUGCAAUGACUUGGAUCCUUUACCACCCAAUCAGAAUGUCACGACUAAUCACAGCGAGACAUUGCUGGAACCUUCUCCUCCGGGUGAGCCUUAUUGGCCAACUGAACAGGAUUAUUAUCAAGAUGGGCAAUCCAACUGGUGGUGAGGAAACAAGAUAAAAUGCCGAGAGAUUUGAGGAUACUGACGUGUAGAGAUGCUGUGGCCUGUGAGAACUUCCUUUCAAAGACAAUAUGAUC